ACCAAUUGGUCAAAAAUGGGUCAAAAAUGUAUUCUUCAAUGCUUCCCAGUUUGAAAAUUGACUAAGUGGUUGAUGGUUAUAUCAUUCAAAUGCCGUAUCCUUUAAGAUUACUGGCAACCAUCGUAACCAAAUAUCUUCGGUUCUCCCAUUAUUGGCGACACAUGCUAUCAAAAACUGCGACAAAUAUUGAUUUGGAUCCGCACCCGAAAAGCCCCUAAAGGUAGGUAAUGGAGCCACGCUAGUUGUGCGAUCACUCACAGUACCCAUUUGUACUGC
rnacentral:lncRNA from 1 species